rnacentral:lncRNA from 1 species
GGAGUUGACGGUUCGAAGAUCUUCUCAUUUGCAUUUCGAUGAGUGGGAGACUCGGUAAAUGAGGCUCGCCCAAGUUCAGGUGCUAUGAGGAAGGCUUUUUUCGGAUUCCGGAGCGUGAAGAUAUUUACCAAUUGGACAGGCGCUCCCACCUAUUACACCGUCGCCUGAGAAAGCUGGGAGAUCAGGAGUCUGACAUUUGAGUGGGAGAUGACUGGCGCCCGGCUAACAAAAGUAUUAAUUGCUUUCUUUACCGACAAGGGAGGCAUGUUGGCUUGGAAAUGGAAGACAUGGAGGUUGCGCUCUUUUCAGAUACAUCAAAUAGCAGUUAUAAGAAGACAUUCAAGAGCAGGAAACU